UGCCCUAAACCUCGCCCGAUCCCUCUCCUCCUCCCCUCUCGCGCGACGUCGGUUCUUCUUCCUCUUCCCCAACCGAAGCGCCAACGUCGCCGCCGCUUGCGAUGCCUCCUCUCCCCCGCGUACAAAAGCAGUGGCCAAGGAGAUGAAUCCUUUCUCUACCCAACUCGUCCUCUGUUCCUCGCACAUUCGAUUCCUUGCGAUCGACGAUUCUUCUCUCUGUCUCUCGGUGUCACCGGCGAGGAGUCGAUCUUGGAGCCUUGAAGGGGGAAAAGGUCGGAGGAAAAUCGGGGCUACCGGUGUCAGAUCUGUCCAACACCAGCCAUUUGGGUGAAGGGACAGCUAUUGUCUUCACCAACUGUUGUCCGAUCUUCCUCUCUGUUUGUCAACGAGGACGUACCAUGCCCUAGUUGUGAUCCUGGAGUAGGUGCGAUUGGUUCCGGUCACCUCUGUCAUCAACAGGGGAUAAUCUCCUUCACCGGAUCCAUGAUCAGCACCGACGAUUGAAGAGGAAGAGGGAGUGAGGUGGUUUCCAGCAGCUACUCCUUCUCGUCAACAACAUCUCUAGCUGUGGAUCAACAGCAAUGGCUGUGAGAUUUAGGACUAUGAUUUGCGACGAGCUGCCUUACGUGGGAUUUCUUUUGGCACGCGCUAUUUUGAGAUGAGUACCUUAACUUAUCUUUUAGAUAUUAUCAUUUGAUAUGCAUAGUGGAUUUUAAUGAGUGGUAAUAAUUAUGUUAUAUUUGCAUCAAUAUUUCAUUGUUUGAUUCUUUCAGCAUGCUUAUUUAUUACAUGUUUUGCAUCCAUUACCCUCUUGAUUAUUUAUGGUGGCAACCCUCUUGGUUAUUUAUGCUCAUAGAGGUAGUGACAUACCAUGUCUUAUGAUAUACCGGACUAAACAUUUACCAUAUCUAAUAUGUGUACCUAGAUCUUCUUAAUUGAGUCAUUUAUUUUUUGUACAUGUUUUAUGGAGAUAGAUAUGGUCAGGAUUUUCAUGCUUAGUGUUAUGUACCAUCUCGCAUGAUUGCAUACUGAGCGAUUGUCAGCUCUAUUAUUGUUGAGCACAUCGUCAGUUACAUGGAU